rnacentral:pre_miRNA from 7 species
UUUCAGGGUUCCUUGGUGUCACGCAGAUCUCGGUGGGACCUUCAAAUGAUAGAACAUAGUGGGGAAUCCCCUACUCAAUACCCUAUAUGGUGUGCACCCAAAAAAAAUCACGAAGGGCC